AAGGGGGGAUCAGACAAUACGUGUCCUUCUGUGUCUGGCUCUUCACUUGCCUAACGCUCUCUAGGUUUACCGGGACGGUGGUAGCACGUGCCAGAGCCCAUCCUGGGGCUGACUAGUACUGCACUGCCUGCGGGGCCACCUCCUGCUUAUCCAUGCGUCCAUUGACGGACACCCGAGUUGCUGCCGUGCUUUGGCUAUCGUGGACGCCGCCGCCGCGGACACGGGUGGACAAGUACCUGUUUGAGUCCCCGCUUUCAGUUUCAUUGCAGUGAAUCCGGGGCAGCUCCGGCCCCACCUGCCCGAGGACCACCUGUCACUGCCUUGCUCUGUGCGGCGCAAUCACGUGUCAGGCUCCCCGCUCGCCAACGCCCCCAGCGCCCCUCCUGCACCCUCUGUGCUCCCCUGCGUGCUCGUCGGAACCCAUCAGCUCUGGGGGCAGGGAUUUUGUCUGCGAUGGAUCUCUGGGUGCAGUUUCAUCAUCCAGGGAAGCACUGAGCACGGAUAUUAAAUACCAGUUAUGAGAAAGGAGAGCAAAACCCACGCCGGUGAUGUUACACAGGGUGUGAUGCGCUGCAAGGACACGGUCGACUUACCCAUCUGAGUCACACCCGAUUUAUUUGUCAGGUUCCUCAAAUUGUGCCAACGGCCCAUUCCUCAUCUAAUGGGUGUUUGCCACCCACGGUCAGGCUCCGGGGAUGCGUGCCUUCCUUGUCACUGCUUGGGUUUGAGCUCUUCUGGGAGUAAACCCCUUAGACUCCGGGGCGGGGGGGGGGGAGGGCUGGCGAGUGAGAGGUAGUGAGUAGCAUGUCAAGGGGAAGAUGCAAGCCAAAUGUGAUGGCCCCGUUCAGGACGGAAGUGCUUAACACAGCUCGAGGGUGUGAUGGAGCCUUUGUGGCUGCGGGGAUUUUAUUACCCAUGGUGUGUGCUUUGGGGGUCUUGUUUUUUUUAUUAUUUUUUUUAAAGAUUUUAUUUAUUUAUUCAUGAGAGACAGAGAGAGAGAGGCCGAGACACAGGCAGAGGGAGAAGCAGGCUCACUACAGGGAGCCCAAUGUGGGACUCGAUCCCAGGACCCUGGGAUCAUAGCCUGAGCCAAAGGCAGACGCUCAACCACUGAGCCACACAGGCAUCCCUGGGGUCUUGUUUAGAAAGCAUUUUCCAAUCUCUAGGUUAACCAUAUUCCCUAUUAUAUUUUUC
rnacentral:lncRNA from 12 species